AACGAACGCUGGCGGCAUGCCUAACACAUGCAAGUCGAACGAGAUCUUCGGGUCUAGUGGCGCACGGGUGCGUAACGCGUGGGAAUCUGCCCUUUGGUUCGGAAUAACAGUUGGAAACGACUGCUAAUACCGGAUGAUGACGAAAGUCCAAAGAUUUAUCGCCAGAGGAUGAGCCCGCGAAGGAUUAGCUAGUUGGUGUGGUAAAGGCGCACCAAGGCGACGAUCCUUAGCUGGUCUGAGAGGAUGAUCAGCCACACUGGGACUGAGACACGGCCCAGACGCCUACGGGAGGCAGUAGUGGGGAAUAUUGGACAAUGGGCGAAAGCCUGAUCCAGCAAUGCCGCGUGAGUGAUGAAGGCCUUAGGGUUGUAAAGCUCUUUUACCCGGGAUGAUAAUGACAGUACCGGGAGAAUAAGCUCCGGCUAACUCCGUGCCAGCCGCCGCAGUAA
rnacentral:rRNA from 1 species